AGCAGGGACAGGGUCAUCUUCCAGUUCAGGCCGCCGGUGUCGUCAAUGGUGCUGGUUAUGUUGAGAGUCUGGCGGUACCAGAAGCUGGAAACCCCAAUGCCCCCCAGCCGUGGGUAGACGUAGUUCCACACGCCGAUGCUGCCACGCCUGAUCCUCUGACCUACUGCCAGCUCCAGGAAGAACAAGGGGAUGCCAAUGAGCAGGAGGAGGAUAAAGUAUGGCACCAGAGGGGACAAUGGAGAGAGAGCACGUUCAGUCCUGCUUACGUCAAGACAUGAAGGGGCACGAUGGUGACAAAACCAUCCAAAUCCAGAGAGGAUGGGCUCAUGCUGAUGGACAGCUGGGAUAGCGAUGUACCCAGCUCAUCUCUUGUGUGUUGUGGCUGUGGAUCCGGACUUGUUGCUAACACUCACUGGGCUCCAGUGUGCUCCAUGACGCCUCAUGAGAGGUCAGACAGAGGACAGCAACACCACUUCCCAAUUCCCUUCCCUCAGCCCCCUUUCACUACAGCAGACCAGCUUAUACUUCCCAGAAUGCACCUCUCCAGCCAGCUGACCCCGGGGUCGGCAGCUGUCAAUCACCUCCUCAGCUGGCUCUGCAGCUUCUGGACACAGAGUUGGAGGAUGUGAGAGAGGCCUCUGAGAGGAACCCUGGCUCUGCAUAUGGGAUCAUCUCUGUGCAUUCAUGAGCCAGGAGGCGGCGAGGGGGAGACCUGGGACUCCCAACAGGCUGAACUGAUUUCCUGUGCAGGGUCAUGCCCAGGACAGGCUCGGAGGACAAGGGUUUAGGACCGCAGGGAGCAGAGAGCAGAGCUGGUCAUGGUAUGGACGGCAAGUUCAUGCUAUUUUCUGCCAUUUCCCUGCUCUUAGCUGCCACUUCUUUCCCUGCGAGCGGGUGAAGAUAAAAUGCACACAUCUCUU